AUGAGAUUGCUUCGCGGGGCAGUUGUUAUCUUGCUCAGUUUUGGCACAGUACCAUGUGAUGCAAUUGAGCCGGCCACGUGGCACCCACUCAGCGCAUCCAGCGGCACCGUGAGCAGUCAGAGUGUCUGGAAGAGGGCAUGGGAGGAACCCUCCUCACAGAAGGGCUCAGAAGGGACACAAACGCCCCUGCCCUUCCAACAGCUGCUGGCCAGCAAAGUACAUCGUCGGCUUUCAGCCAUCCUGUGCGUGAGUAGAAAGGGUGUUUCCAGCACAUCCCAAAAAGGGUUUCAGGAAGAGGGGAGAGAGCUAAAAUUUACUCAGUAGUUAGUAAAUCUCAGGCAGCAUUCAAGAUGACGAGCCAUCCCAGUGUGCCUGGUCAGAGGGAUUUCCUGGGACUUUCAGAGCUACAACUAGGAUAGUCUUGGACAACUGGCAUAGUUGGUCACCCUACUUCGUUUCUUGGUUUACUUCUCUCAUCAACCAUAUGUGCGUUUUACUUAUGAGAAAUCCAGGCCUUCAGUCAUGCGGCCAGAGUGGCAGGAUUGGAGUCAAGACUUCCACGACUCCCAGGUCCGGGUCCUUUCUACCACAUCCCAAGGACUCCCUGACCUGCCUUCAGAUGCAGUAAUUCUGAGAUAGCUCUGUGCAGCUCUCCCCCCAAAAAUGUACUCUUCAGAGCACUCAGAUCAUGAGAUAUGGAAAGAAAUGGAUGAAGGCUUGCUGGAAAGGCAGGGACAGAUACUUUGCAGGAAGAAAAGGACUUCCAAAGUGUGCACAGCAACUUGGGGUUUGAAAAAUCUUUGUUCUAAGGGCCAGAACUUUAGUGUCAACCUGACACUGGGAAGGGGUAAGAACUGAUGAAAAUAGUCCUAACUGAGAAGCACUUUGAGCUUCUGGGAGAGAGACUGCUACACUGAAGUGGCCAGCUCUAGGCCACGUCAUAGGACCUGGGUGGGCAUCAUUCUUUCUGACGCUUGUCUCCUCUAUCCUACUUAUUUGAGAUUUCAAAGUAGUCAUCUGGUUUAUCUUUUCAAGUGUGACCAUAUAAUACACUAUUCAAACAAUGGCACUUCCGAGAAUGAAAGGGGAACAAUUCAUAAUUAGGCAAGGACAACAGUGGGGAAUGGGACUCUGCCCCAGUUAACUGGGAUACCUGAUCCCCGGGCCAGCUCUUCUGAUCAUGAGGAACUUAGUUGUGAUCUUGCCUUCUAAUACAGCAAACAAAGCAGGGAAAUUCCCAGCCCCAUGCCAUUGCCAUUGGGCUCUUCUGCCUCUCCCUGGUUCUGCCCCACAUCCCAAGGUCUAAAGAAUACCUUUUCCCCAAAGGUCUGAAUACUCCUUUGAGUCAUUUCCAUCAAAUAUCAGCAUAGGAAUGCUUAUUUCAACUACUCUUUCUUGAUCACCACAGAGUUUUCUGAGCACUCACCUUAAACAGGGCCUCUUCUGGGUGCUACAGACAUUUUCAAGGGAGAGAGACCUCACCCACCCAUCGGCUGUGAGCUGGCUGGCUGGUGCGUGAGUCUGUUGGGGGGUGAACCUGCCCCUCCUGACGUUGCCCCUCAGUGACUGACCACAGGCUUUGGAAAAACCUCUUCAGCAGGGUACCGCUUACUCUGAUCUACUUAAACAGCGACUCCCACGCCCUGAGGAGGAGCUGAGCGUGCCACAGCAGCAGAAUGCAACUUUGCUGAGAUCAAAGUGCGAACCUGCUGAAGCUGUGUGUCUGAAAUUACCCAGAAAUCGCUUUGUGCUCACCCAUGGUGCAGAAGCGAUGGUGAGCCAGAGUGCAGAGACCACG
rnacentral:lncRNA from 1 species